rnacentral:rRNA from 1 species
AGUGAACGCUGGCGGUAGGCCUAACACAUGCAAGUCGAACGGCAGCACAGUAAGAGCUUGCUCUUACGGGUGGCGAGUGGCGGACGGGUGAGGAAUACAUCGGAAUCUACUUUUUCGUGGGGGAUAACGUAGGGAAACUUACGCUAAUACCGCAUACGACCUACGGGUGAAAGCAGGGGAUCUUCGGACCUUGCGCGAUUGAAUGAGCCGAUGUCGGAUUAGUUAGUUGGCGGGGUAAAGGCCCACCAAGGCGACGAUCCGUAGCUGGUCUGAGAGGAUGAUCAGCCACACUGGAACUGAGACACGGUCCAGACUCCUACGGGAGGCGGCAGUGGGGAAUAUUGGACAAUGGGCGCAAGCCUGAUCCAGCCAUACCGCGUGGGUGAAGAAGGCCUUCGGGUUGUAAAGCCCUUUUGUUGGGAAAGAAAAGUAGCAGGUUAAUACCCCGCUGUUCUGACGGUACCCAAAGAAUAAGCACCGGCUAACUUCGUG